rnacentral:lncRNA from 1 species
GUGUGCGUCCCCUUAGACCUCGGAAGCCCCCUGCCCGCCCAGGCUGUGGAGUCUCGCACCCGUGGGUGCUUUUGCGCCCCCGGGGGAGGGGGCGGCUUGUAACUCAACGUGACAGGUGUCUGCCAGGCGCGAGCCCGACUGACCUUUCCAUCCCUUCCGCCCCCAGCCCUUCUAGGAACACAGAUACCUCUGUUAAACUAUAAACUUGUGGCUUCUCCCCGACCUCCAGAACUGCCUAAGAAAAC